CAUGGUGUUUUUCCUUGCUUUAAUACAGAGAUACAGAGAAGAUUAGCAUGGCUCCAGCACAAGAAUGACAUGCAAAAAAAAAUAUGUUGGUAAGUACCUUCUU